rnacentral:lncRNA from 1 species
AGCUGGUCCGACGGACCCUUCCUGCCCCGGUUUGUCCGGACUCCGGAUCUCCGGGCCUGGCAACUCUGGGUCGGCGCUCCUGGAACCUCACAUCUCGGGUGUGAGCAACCUAGGACACAAAACGCGGGGAUGGCUUGGAAGCCCGUGGGCAGGCGAAACCGGGAGUUCUGGCAGCGGCUCAGCCUCCCCCUCCUCCUCCCUCCCCCUCCCUCCCCCUCCCCUGCCUUCCCCCGGGAGCAGCGGGAAAUUAUUUAUUAAAACGCCGCCCGCGCUCUCAUUUAUUUGCGGUGAAUAAUCCUCGGCAUCUCAGCACGUUUAUUAAACCUUUCCCGUCCCUGCGCCCGCAUUACUUUAAUAAUAAAUCGCGUGUCACUUUCCAGCGACAUUAUUAAAGCGGGUCCGCUGCAGCAGAGGCGGGGUGCGGGGAGGGAGGGGGCGGUGGACAACAGUUCUCCCAUUCCAGGCUGUGGUGCUUGAACCAGCAGGGCGGGGAGGGGAAAACUGAGGCUGCUAGGAGGCUGCUCCUGAACACCUACAAAGUCGGCUAACGCGAUUAAGGAGUGCGGAUUCCCCGGGACCUGCGUGACCCUCUCCGGUGGGGUGGGGCUUUUGGUGAGGAGCCUCUGCUCUGCAGGUGGACGCGGUAGGAGCUAUGGGCCCGCAGAGGGCGUCUUGGAGCCCAGCUGGGCGAAGAACAAGCUAGGGGCGGAUUCCCUGGCUGAUGCUGGGACUCACACCCACGUCCCCUCUUUCAGCGCCGGGCGGAUUUUGGCCACAGCGCCGAACAGCACGCCCCACCCCCGCCUACCCCUCUGAUUCUGCUUCUGUGGGCGCCCUGGAAUCGGCUCCC